rnacentral:rRNA from 1 species
AUUGAACGCUGGCGGCAUGCCUUACACAUGCGAGUCGAACGGUAACAGGUUAAGCUGACGAGUGGCGAACGGGUGAGUAAUGUAUCGGAACGUGCCCAGUCGUGGGGGAUAACUGCUCGAAAGAGCAGCUAAUACCGCAUACGACCUGGGGGUGAAAGCGGGGGAUCGCAAGACCUCGCGCGAUUGGAGCGGCCGAUAUCAGAUUAGGUAGUUGGUGAGGUAAAGGCUCACCAAGCCGACGAUCUGUAGCUGGUCUGAGAGGACGACCAGCCACACUGGGGCUGAGACACCGCCCCGAACCCUUAGGGGAGGCGCAGGUGGGAAUUUUUGACCAUGGGCGGCAGCCUGAUCCAGCCAUGCCGGGGGGGGGAAGAAGGCCUUCGGGUUGUAAACCGCUUUUGUCAGGGAAGAAAAGGUUCUGGCUAAUACCUGGGACUCAUGACGGUACCUGAAGAAUAAGCACCGGCUAACUACGUG